CGGCGGCGGGGGUGCGGGCGCCGACGCCUCCUGGCGGGAGGUGCCGGCGCUUCGGCGUGCGGCGGCCCGGCGCCGUCCGCCACCGG
rnacentral:tRNA from 5 species